rnacentral:rRNA from 1 species
UACAGAGGUCUCAAGCGUUGUUCGGAUUCAUUGGGCGUAAAGGGCGCGUAGGCUGCGGGGCAAGUCGGGUGUGAAAUCUCAGAGCUCAACUCUGAAACUGCACUCGAUACUGCUUUGCUCGAGGACUGGAGAGGAGAUUGGAAUUCACGGUGUAGCAGUGAAAUGCGUAGAUAUCGUGAGGAAGACCAGUGGCGAAGGCGGAUCUCUGGACAGUUACUGACGCUGAGGCGCGAAGGCCAGGGGAGCAAACGGG